GGGGAUGAUCGGUUUCGACAGCGGAUGUCGAAGCAGGGGAAGCGUGUCGAGGAAGCGGCCAUGAUCUCGUAAACCACAGGCCGAAAACAAUAAUCGCCAACACCAAGCGCGAUUCCUCCUCGUUCGCCCUCGCUGCCUAAUUAGCAGCUAGCGAACUCUCAUAGGAGUGUCAGCCCGGGGCUGUUCCCGACCCGGAUCCUGGCAUCGACUAGGGGACUAAACCUUGAUCCCGGUCACGGGGUGAAGAGGGAAACCAAACAGUGACUGAGCCCGUCGGAGACUUGUCCGCGUGAUCUCCGGGGCCGAGAAAAGCGAAGCGGACUGCACACGGAGAAGCCCUCCUUCCGCACCGUUGGACGCGGGUUCGAUUCCCGCCAUCUCCACCA
rnacentral:tmRNA from 15 species